CGAGGGGCAGCAUGGGAGUAGCAAUACUUCUGAUGGCGACCGGCGCACGGGUGCGUAACGCGUAUGCAACCUACCUGUAACAGGGGGAUAACACUGAGAAAUCGGUACUAAUACCGCAUAACACUAUGAGAGGCAUCUCUUGUGGUUGAAAGUUUCGGCGGUUACAGAUGGGCAUGCGUUGUAUUAGCUGGUUGGUAAGGUAACGGCUUACCAAGGCGACGAUACAUAGGGGGACUGAGAGGUUAACCCCCCACAUUGGUACUGAGACACGGACCAAACUCCUACGGGAGGCAGCAGUGAGGAAUAUUGGUCAAUGGACGGAAGUCUGAACCAGCCAUGCCGCGUGCAGGAAGACGGCUCUAUGAGUUGUAAACUGCUUUUGUACAAGGGUAAACCUGAAUACGUGUAUUCAGCUGAAAGUACUGUACGAAUAAGGAUCGGCUAACUCCGUGCCAGCAGCCGCGGUAAUACGGAGGAUCCAAGCGUUAUCCGGAUUUAUUGGGUUUAAAGGGUGCGUAGGCGGAUUGAUAAGUUAGAGGUGAAAUGUCCGAGCUUAACUCGGGAACUGCCUCUAAUACUGUUGAUCUAGAGAGUAGAUGCGGUAGGCGGAAUGUAUGGUGUAGCGGUGAAAUGCUUAGAGAUCAUACAGAACACCGAUUGCGAAGGCAGCUUACCAAUCUAUAUCUGACGUUGAGGCACGAAAGCGUGGGGAGCAAACAGGAUUAGAUACCCUGGUAGUCCACGCAGUAAACGAUGAUAGCUCGUUGUCGGCGAUACACAGUCGGUGACUAAGAGAAAUCGAUAAGCUAUCCACCUGGGGAGUACGUUCGCAAGAAUGAAACUCAAA
rnacentral:rRNA from 1 species